UUGAAAGGGAAACGAUUGAAGUCAGUCGUACCCUCGGGUAAUCAGCCUUUCGGGUGCGAUUAUGUGGAGUGUGAGGAGCUUAAACACCUUCAUGUUUUGCAUAUUCGUACUCUUGGGUGUACUUGCCCGUGUGGUUGGUUAACAUCAAUUUUGGUGGUCAUAAAAUGACUGGAGGAAUGUAGCUUCGAUCUCGUAUUGAAGUGUUAUAGCCUUCGGUAGAUGUGAUGAUCGAGAUUGAGGAUUGCAACGGAUACCCUUCGGGGCUACCUGUCUGGUCUCUGAUCGUUGCUCUGGUGCCGAAAGCUUGCUUACGGUUAUCAAAGUCGAUGGUCAAUAGGUUAGAACGGGUUAAAUUCGUUAAGGAUGUUGACGUA
rnacentral:rRNA from 1 species